rnacentral:lncRNA from 1 species
UUCUCAUUGGUCCAACUUGUUGACCGACAGGGAAUCCUUCGAUUUAUUAUUUUGAGUUGAGAUUUGGAAGCAUCGCCGAGCGAGCCGUUGAUCCCCGCGCAUUUCUCCAGCUCCAUUUUUAGUCGAAAACCAGACCAGCAAGUGAUAUGUCGAGACUAUCGCUCUAAGAGCAUUUAGUCCGGAUCUUUCAAGUAUGGCGUUGUGGGCCGAAGGUACUCGGAUGAUCAUGAAGGUCAAGUAGAC